GAUGAAGAACGUAGCGUAAUGCGAUAAGUAAUGUGAAUUGCAGAAUUCAGUGAAUCAUCGAAUCUUUGAACGCACAUUGCGCCCGCCAGUAUUCUGGCGGGCAUGCCUGUUCGAGCGUCAUUUCAACCAUCAAGCCCUGCUUGCGUUGGGGUCCUGCGGCUGCCCGCAGGCCCUGAAAACCAGUGGCGGGCUCGCUAGUCACACCGAGCGCAGUAAUACAUCUCGCUUUGGGCGUGCGGCGGGUUCUUGCCGUUAAACACCCCCUUUUUACCAAGGUUGACCUCGGAUCAGGUAGGAAUACCCGCUGAACUUAAGCAUAUCAAUAAGCGGAGGA
rnacentral:misc_RNA from 1 species